ACUUCAUACGUUGCCAUGAGUUCCGCGAGGAUUGAAAGGGAAACCGGUGUAAGUCCGGUACGAUCCCGUCGCUGUAAUGGGGAGUCCUGCGCAAGAUGUCAUUGCAUCCUUGGAUGUGAGAAGACGCGCCGGGCGAAGAACCAGAGUCAGAAGACCUGCUCAUGGCCGGAAAUGUUU
rnacentral:ncRNA from 2 species